rnacentral:lncRNA from 1 species
CUACAAACUAAAGAUGUGUUACCUGCUUCAUAUCAAUGCUGGAACAUGACCAAGACUUUGAACUACUUUACAAGGUGCAAGUUUCCAACAAAUGGUGUGUUCAUAGUCAACGAUUCCCUCUCUUAAUUUGAAGCCUGGGAAAAGAACAAUGAAUUCAGCAUGGAGGAGAGAAAGCUGCGGUGUGGAUGACUAGUGGCUGCUUUGAAAAGCUCAAGGGAGAGACUCAGAAGUAUGUUUGCAAAAGCUGGGGAAGAGACAGAGCAGAACGGACCUAUGGUAAGUUGGAUACGAUGAUUUCACAAGAGACUGUAAGAGAAAUGGAGGGAAACAUCGGUAGUACAGAACACCUGCAAUAAUGUAAUCAAGGGCAAUAAAUAAUAUAGAUUUUGAAGUGAUAAAUUAUGACAAGCCAAAUUGGUGGAUGUAAGUAGAUGUACAAGACUAGGAACUCAGUCCAGCCAAGCAGAUGUUAAGUGUUUAGAAUUUAG